rnacentral:rRNA from 1 species
GAUGAACGCUGGCGGCGUGCCUAGUACAUGCAAGUCGAGCGAAUGGAUUGAGAGCUUGCUCUUAUGAAGUUAGCGGCGGACGGGUGAGUAACACGUGGGUAACCUGCCCAUAAGACUGGGAUAACUCCGGGAAACCGGGGCUAAUACCGGAUAACAUUUUGAACCGCAUGGUUCGAAAUUGAAAGGCGGCUUCGGCUGUCACUUAUGGAUGGACUCGCGUCGCAUUAGCUAGUUGGUGAGGUAACGGCUCACCAAGGCAACGAUGCGUAGCCGACCUGAGAGGGUGAUCGGCCAGACUCGGACUGAGACACGGCCCAGGCGCCGACGGGAGGCAGCAGUAGGGAAUCUUCCGCAAUGGACGAAAGUCUGACGGAGCAACGCCGCGUGAGUGAUGAAGGCUUGCGGGUCGUAAAACUCUGUUGUUAGGGAAGAACAAGUGCUAGUUGAAUAAGCUGGCACCUUGACGGUACCUAACCAGAAAGCCACGGCUAACUACGUGCCAGCAGCCGCGGUAA